GUGCCAGCCGCCGCGGUAAUACGUAGGUGGCAAGCGUUGUCCGGAUUUACUGGGCGUAAAGGAUGUGUAGGCGGAUAUUUAAGUGAGAUGUGAAAUCCCCGGGCUUAACCUGGGGGCGGCAUUUCAAACUGGAAGACUAGAGUGCAGGAGAGGAAAGCGGAAUUCCGAGUGUAGCGGUGAAAUGCGAUGAGAUUGGGAGGAAAACCAGUGGCGAAGGCGGCUUUCUGGACUGCAACUGACGCUGAGGCAGGAAA
rnacentral:rRNA from 1 species